UACAGAGGGGGCAAGCGUUAUUCGGAAUUAUUGGGCGUAAAGGGCGCGUAGGCGGCUUUUCAAGUGACGGGUGAAAUCCCUCGGCUUAACCGAGGAACUGCCUUUGAUACUGAAGAUCUUGAGUUCGGGAGAGGUGAGUGGAACUGCGAGUGUAGAGGUGAAAUUCGUAGAUAUUCGCAAGAACACCAGUGGCGAAGGCGGCUCACUGGCCCGAUACUGACGCUGAGGCACGAAAGCGUGGGGAGCAAACAGG
rnacentral:rRNA from 1 species